AUACUUACCUGGCAGGGAAGGUACCAUGAGCACAAAGGUGGUCUUCUCUGGGUGAGGCUCAUCCUUUGUACUCCAGAUGUGCCGACCCCUGCCAUUUCCCCAAACAUGAGAAACUCGACCAUAUAAUUUGUGGUAAUGGGGGACUGUGUUUGCGCUCUCUCCUG
ensembl:snRNA U1 U1 spliceosomal RNA